rnacentral:rRNA from 1 species
AUUGAACGCUGGCGGAAUGCUUUACACAUGCAAGUCGAACGGUAACAGGUCUUCGGAUGCUGACGAGUGGCGAACGGGUGAGUAAUAUAUCGGAACGUGCCCAGUCGUGGGGGAUAACGUAGCGAAAGUUACGCUAAUACCGCAUACGAUCUAUGGAUGAAAGCGGGGGAUCGCAAGACCUCGCGCGAUUGGAGCGGCCGAUAUCAGAUUAGGUAGUUGGUGGGGUAAAGGCUCACCAAGCCAACGAUCUGUAGCUGGUCUGAGAGGACGACCAGCCACACUGGAACUGAGACACGGUCCAGACUCCUACGGGAGGCAGCAGUGGGGAAUUUUGGACAAUGGACGCAAGUCUGAUCCAGCCAUUCCGCGUGCAGGAUGAAGGCCCUCGGGUUGUAAACUGCUUUUGUACGGAACGAAAAGGUCUCUAUUAAUACUAGGGGCUCAUGACGGUACCGUAAGAAUAAGCACCGGCUAACUACGUGCCAGCAGCCGCCGCCGUAA